rnacentral:rRNA from 1 species
UGUUCGCCAAACAACUACGAGUCCCACUUAAAACUUAAAAGACUUGACGGUACUUCAUCACGGCCUAGAGGAGCCUGUCUAAUAACCGACAAUCCACGAUUAACCCCACCCCUUCUUGCCUUCAGUCUAUAUACCGCCGUCGCCAGCUUACCUUGUAAAAGAAAUAAAGUAAGCUAAACAGUACUAACACUAAAACGACAGGUCGAGGUGUAACCCAUGAAGGGGGCCAGGAUGGGCUACAUUCUCCAACCAAGAAUACGAAUAACACUAUGAAAUUAAUGUUUAAAGGCGGAUUUAGCAGUAAGAUAAGAAUAAAACACCUAACUGAACAUGACGCAAUGAAGUGCGUACACACCGCCCGUCACCCCUGUCACCAC